rnacentral:lncRNA from 1 species
AAUGCAAAAAAACUGGUAAAUGGUCAGACCCAUUAUCUUUCUCUCCCAUCAUUUAUUAUCCAUCCAACCAAUCAUAAUAGCUGUCACUACCAUCUCUCUUAUUUCCCAACCACUCUUAUUUAUCUCACUACGGUCUCUCUCAGUUUCUGGUGCUGCCAUCUGAAAUUCUCCAGACCGUCGGUGCUGUCGUCUCUACAAACCGUCGGUGUUGCCGUCUGAAAUUAUCCAAACCGCCGGUGCUACCAUCUAAAAUUCUCUAAAUCCACGGUAUGGGUAUUUGGAAUUUCUCCAAAUCUACGGUGCGGGUCUCUGGUCAUGUUAACCUCUUAAACAUAGCUUAAGGAAACAUCCUAUUAGUAAUUUACCUAAUUCGUAAAAUGUGUAGAUAUUGACCUGUGUAUGCAUUAAAUCAACGUAUCUAUCUUUCGUCUUUGGAGUGUUUUAUAUUCUACUAUUGUCAAGAUUUCAACUGCUACCAUCUAAAAUUCUCUAAAUCCACGGUAUGGGUAUUUGGAAUUUCUCCAAAUCUACGGUGCGGGUCUCUGGUCAUGUUAACCUCUUAAACAUAGCUUAAGGAAACAUCCUAUUAGUAAUUUACCUAAUUCGUAAAAUGUGUAGAUAUUGACCUGUGUAUGCAUUAAAUCAACGUAUCUAUCUUUCGUCUUUGGAGUGUUUUAUAUUCUACUAUUGUCAAGAUUUCAAUUUUUCUCCAUCUUCCGUGUGCACAUUUUCUUGUUCAAUUGCACUUACUCUCUAUUUUAUGGAGUUCGAAUCUGACUUUGGGCCUGUUGAAUUGCACUGUAUGCUAAAGUUUGCUCCAGGGCAGGAAGGAACAGAGGUAUAUGCCAUAGUUGCAAACAGCCGAAUCGCUCGUUGGAAUGUUCCAGAAAGAGAAGAUGCCCAAAAUGUAGUGAGGGGUUUGUGAAGUGGAUGGAGGUGGAAAAAAAUAGUGCAAACAAAGGACUGAUGAUCCAUUGUUGUACUUGUUACUAUAGGCAUUUUAAGUGGUGUGAUGUUUCGCCAUAUGACAACGAGUUAGUGCAUUACGAAGGUGAAUUAAGUUCAACGAUCCAACUAUUGACAUGUCAAUUGUGUUCCAAAAAUGUGCUAAUAUAGCCGACGAAAAUUACUAUUUGGAGAUUUUCCUCAACAUAACUCAAGGAAAACGAGAUCUGGAUGACGAGGAGAAAGCGAAAAAAAGGGUGUAAAUUAAAUCGUGUAUUGUUGAUAUAAUGUGACGAUAUUACAUUAGAUGUGGUGUUGAAUUUGGAUGUAAUCGAAUUGUCGUAACGUUUGUUGUCUCGUAGUCUGUAUUCACUUGUUUAAUUAGGGGAAAAAAACUAUGUACUCAAGGAAGCUUACUAUUUUUGCGCAAUUUUUAUCGAAUGAAUUGUGAUUGUUCUGUGUUUGCGGCAUUCCCUAUCUAGAACAGAACCAGUUACUAAAUUAGUUGAUUUUGUGGGUAUAUAUAGAGGGUGCAUUAUGUUUUAUUUUUGGUGAAUGGAAUGAGAACAUACAGGUAGGUAUUCGGGUUUUAUCUAGCAAAAAUUAUGUUGCUAAGGAUACUAAUUUUGGUAUUGGGGCUCGGGCUGCAAUGCUAUCUGGUGUUAAUGAACUUGCCGAAGCUGUAAGGGUGACAAUGGGACCAAAGAUAACUAGGCGUUUACAACCCUCCUUUCUCUUUACUUCUAUUAACAUUAUAAUGCACGAACAAACUCUAACUUGAAGAGUGUAAGAAAAAUAUGCCAGAAAAUAUUAGUGAACAUUAACUUCAAAUAUUUUUGGCUAUUUUGAUACUUGUAGUUGUGUGUGGGUACCCCAAUUAAAUGGUGGGUGCUGGUUAUAUAUAAUUAGGUAAAUAUAUUUUAAGUUCUAAAAUUCUUUUGAGUCUCCAAGUGAAUUGUUCCGGAUUUGUAGUGACUGCUAUUUUAUGAUGCUUGUUCACGAUUUUUGUAACGACAUCUUAACAAAGGGCUUGAGGCUAAGUGGCUCUUCUUCUUCACAAUUGUUGCAAGGGCACAAUGUCAUUAUUGAGCAAAGCCAUGGAAAUCCCAAGGUCACCAAGGAUGGUGUCACAGUAGCCAAAAGCAUCAAUUUUAUGGAUAAGGCAAAAAAUAUUGGUGCAGAUCUUGUGAAACAAGUUGCUAGCGCAACUAGUAAGGUUACUGACGAUGGUAAUCUAUUUGCUUAAGCCUUCAUUUCUAUAUUUACAAAUCACAGUUCCAUAAAGAUUGGCUUUUGCAUAAGAAUAUGAAGAUACCAACCAAAAUCAAUAUUUCUUGUCCAGUACAUCUACUUGCAUUUAUUGAAUGUGCCCAAACCAAAUUAUAUGAAAACAUAUUUUCAAACUAGCAACAUAUUUGUUGCUCUAUGAAAUGAAGCUUCAAACCAUAUCACCUCAAUGAUAAACCAUCUUCAAACAUAAGACUUCAAGAGAGAAAUGAACUAAAGAUAAAUUCAUUACUGCAAAUAAUAACAUAUUUCAAUAAAGUUGACAAAAAGCAUCCAACAUGCUACAAUUACAAACCACAUUUCCAGCAUACCAUUUACUCGCACAACCACAUUUACAAUACUUUUCUCCAUCUUCCGUGUGCACAUUUUCUUGUUCAAUUGCACUUACUCUCUAUUUUAUGGAGUUCGAAUCUGACUUUGGGCCUGUUGAAUUGCACUGUAUGCUAAAGUUUGCUCCAGGGCAGGAAGGAACAGAGGUAUAUGCCAUAGUUGCAAACAGCCGAAUCGCUCGUUGGAAUGUUCCAGAAAGAGAAGAUGCCCAAAAUGUAGUGAGGGGUUUGUGAAGUGGAUGGAGGUGGAAAAAAAUAGUGCAAACAAAGGACUGAUGAUCCAUUGUUGUACUUGUUACUAUAGGCAUUUUAAGUGGUGUGAUGUUUCGCCAUAUGACAACGAGUUAGUGCAUUACGAAGGUGAAUUAAGUUCAACGAUCCAACUAUUGACAUGUCAAUUGUGUUCCAAAAAUGUGCUAAUAUAGCCGACGAAAAUUACUAUUUGGAGAUUUUCCUCAACAUAACUCAAGGAAAACGAGAUCUGGAUGACGAGGAGAAAGCGAAAAAAAGGGUGUAAAUUAAAUCGUGUAUUGUUGAUAUAAUGUGAUGAUAUUACAUUAGAUGUGGUGUUGAAUUUGGAUGUAAUCGAAUUGUCGUAACGUUUGUUGUCUCGUAGUCUGUAUUCACUUGUUUAAUUAGGGGAAAAAAACUAUGUACUCAAGGAAGCUUACUAUUUUUGCGCAAUUUUUAUCGAAUGAAUUGUGAUUGUUCUGUGUUUGCGGCAUUCCCUAUCUAGAACAGAACCAGUUACUAAAUUAGUUGAUUUUGUGGGUAUAUAUAGAGGGUGCAUUAUGUUUUAUUUUUGGUGAAUGGAAUGAGAACAUACAGGUAGGUAUUCGG